UCGACACCAUUUCUGAAAGCUGUCACUGUCACACACCUGUGUCUCUCCAAGGAACACACCUGCAUCAAGCCACCAUGGAUUGAUGCAAUCCGGACUGGACCUGUAGGGCUUCUUGGUCUUUGCUGGAGAGGGCGGAUCGCUCAGAUGGGAUAGUGGAGGAAGAGACCGAGCCUGUCUGAAAUGUCACCCUAUAUACCUACACCAGACUUGAGAUGAACAGAUUUAACAUGGACUUAACAAAAAUGGAUUUAACUCACAUUUAUGGUCUUAGUUCCAUGUCAGGUUGACUUAUCUCAAGUCUGAAUAGGUCCAAUGUAAUGGAAUAGGGUGCCAUUUUGGACGCAUCAAUCCUGCCCAGGAGGCUACAAAGUGGAAUGAGAAGAGAGAACCCAAGAUGGUCCCCCAACAUAUAGUCUUAUGGUAUUCACUGAUACCUUCCAUCAUCUUUAUCCUCUGAAGCUGUGGAGUGUGACAAUGGUGUUUGUGUUAUCUGUUAUCAAACGCCAUUAUCACACUAAAUAGCUACGGUUAGAAGAGAACAGCAUCAUACUAUCCAAUGCCCUGAGGUCAAACAGAGUUACGGAAGGUUAUGUGCAGUUCCAGUCGGCCAAAUUAACUCACUGUGAUUUGGAUUUAUUCAUGUAUCUCUAUAAGCAUUGAUAGUCCAAUAUGGGAUUUAAGUGAUUGUUGCAUUUCUUUUUUAUAUCCGCUGUGGAAAAUGUUGACUACAGAAAGUCUUUAAUGUUUGCAGUUUGAGUGAAGUUUGUACCGUCAUUUAAUAAAACAUGACAAUUUGUUUCAAGGAUAUUUCUUAUCUGUUUAGAUUUGGUCAUAUGAUAAAUGCAGUAAUAAUGUAAGGGUAAAAUAACAUGACAAAACAUAAGCCUAAGGUUUGCUGACCAAUGUGAACUCUGUUCAGAUGCAAGGUUUUGUGUUACUAAUAUGAAGACAUUGUGAUCUUUUAGUCAGAACAUUUAGUUUCAUGUGACGCUAAAGGAAAGCUGUAUAAUGUGCUAAGGGUCUAUGUUGUUGUCAGUAAAUUCAAGUGAAAACA